rnacentral:rRNA from 1 species
AUGCUAUACAUGCAAGUCGAACGCUUCUUUUUCCACCGGAGCUUGCUCCACCGGAAAAAGARGAGUGGCGAACGGGUGAGUAACACGUGGGUAACCUGCCCAUCAGAAGGGGAUAACACUUGGAAACAGGUGCUAAUACCGUAUAACAAUCAAAACCGCAGGUUUUGAUUUGAAAGGCGCUUUCGGGUGUCGCUGAUGGAUGGACCCGCGGUGCAUUAGCUAGUUGGUGAGGUAACGGCUCACCAAGGCCACGAUGCAUAGCCGACCUGAGAGGGUGAUCGGCCACAUUGGGACUGAGACACGGCCCAAACUCCUACGGGAGGCAGCAGUAGGGAAUCUUCGGCAAUGGACGAAAGUCUGACCGAGCAACGCCGCGUGAGUGAAGAAGGUUUUCGGAUCGUAAAACUCUGUUGUUAGAGAAGAACAAGGAUGAGAGUAACUGUUCAUCCCUUGACGGUAUCUAACCAGAAAGCCACGGCUAACUACGUGCCAGCAGCCGCGGUAAUACGUAGGUGGCAAGCGUUGUCCGGAUUUAUUGGGCGUAAAGCGAGCGCAGGCGGUUUCUUAAGUCUGAUGUGAAAGCCCCCGGCUCAACCGGGGAGGGUCAUUGGAAACUGGGAGACUUGAGUGCAGAAGAGGAGAGUGGAAUUCCAUGUGUAGCGGUGAAAUGCGUAGAUAUAUGGAGGAACACCAGUGGCGAAGGCGGCUCUCUGGUCUGUAACUGACGCUGAGGCUCGAAAGCGUGGGGAGCAAACAGGAUUAGAUACCCUGGUAGUCCACGCCGUAAACGAUGAGUGCUAAGUGUUGGAGGGUUUCCGCCCUUCAGUGCUGCAGCUAACGCAUUAAGCACUCCGCCUGGGGAGUACGACCGCAAGUUGAAACUCAAGGAAUUGACGGGGGCCCGCACAAGCGGUGGAGCAUGUGGUUUAAUUCGAAG